rnacentral:misc_RNA from 1 species
CCUAGAGUUUGUGGACUUCGGUCUGCUACCUCUUACCCAUGUCUUUUGAGUACCUUCGUUUCCUCGGCGGGUCCGCCCGCCGGUUGGACAACAUUCAAACCCUCUGCAGUUGCAAUCAGCGUCUGAAAAAACUUAAUAGUUA